rnacentral:lncRNA from 1 species
GCAGAUAAAAGGAAAAUCAAAGAUGGCCAGGGGUACACCAUAAGACUAUGUAUAAGAAAGAAAGGGAGAAAGGAAGCUGACCUGGAAUGAAGAAUUGCUAGAUGGUUGAUGGUCCUGCCUUAGGGAGACAAGCUUACCCAUAAAUUGUUAGCCAAAGGUUGUGACCGGAAAACACUCUUAUUUCAUUUGUAACAAGCUAGGCAUGAUUAAUAUUUAUGCUCAAACUUGGGAUUUGGGAACAAUGUUAAAGAGUUAUUAUGGAUUGAGUUAGAAUUAGACUAUUGAAAGUAUAUGGGCUUGGCCCAAAUAUAGUUUGCACUGCAUUGUAUUUAAAUCUUAAAAUAUUAGCAUAUAAUACAAAAAAAUACAACAAUAACGAAAAUAGCCUUUUGAGCAUUAACAUUUAACCAGACCCAAGAAAAAGAAAAUGCAAAAGACAAAUAUCAACUAAAGAAACAUGUCAAACAAAUAUUGGCAUUCAGGGAAGUAACAACUAGUUGCAAGUAAAACUUACAUAUUCUUAGGAAAGAAAUGAGCUUGUACCCUUGGAAUAGAUCUAUCUUCUACCAAAUUGGGUUUUUUGAGGGCAGCUCUAGUGCAUUUGGAUUUCCAUGUGUCAAUCGUAGACCAGACAUGACACAUAACCCACACCGUAGGAAAUAACAUCAAGCAUAAAUACAGGAGGGAGUAGAUGUUUUUAUUUUUUCAGAACCCAAGAAGAAGAUAAGGAUCCUCUAGAUUAUAGGAAACAAAGAGAAAGGCCCAACCAAACCAUAAUGAAAGAUUCCCUUUUUUCAUUCACAAAGGUGUAAAAACUGAUACAAAAAAGAAUUGACCAUUUAACUUUAAAUAUUCCAAAUUACAUGAAAAAUGAUAGAAGCAGGGAAUGAUGGUAAAUAAAACAACAAAACAGAAAAGAUAUCAAAAAGGCAUGUCAGGCACCUGGUCUAGAGAAUCUUGAAGCGAAUAAUGGGCUUCUUGAAAAGUAGAGAAGGAAAAUUCAUCCCAUGCAAGGGUCAUGGACAGAAUGGAAACACUUUCCAGCUCAUCUAACUCAAUCUGGGAGCGGCUAAAGAAUUAGUAUUUAAUGUUAUUAAAGUAAUGGCAAUAAGAAGUUGAACCUUUACCUGACAGAAGGCCAGUUAUCGUGCAUCAAAUAUCAAUACCACAUUCAUAAACCACUCUUAAAGUGCUCAAAGAUUUGGCCUGUUUGGUGGGAGACUUUGUCUUGGCUGAAUAUCUCUUUGGUGUUCCCCUCUAAUCCAAUCCAACAUUUUCUUCAGCACUCUUUUGUGCAAGUGGAAGGGCUUAGAAGAGGAAGGUGGCAAACUUGGUGGAUGGCUGUUGUUUGGUCUAUAUGGAAGAUGAGAAACAGAAUUCUUUUCUCCAAUGAUUCCUUUAAUGGCAGCAAACUUGUUGAUGAUGCAGUUUUUUUAGUGUGGUCUUGGCUCUCAAAUUUGGAUAAGGAAUUUAAGCUCCCUUUUAAUCUUUGGUCAUCUCACAUUAGAGAAGGUUUUUUGGGCUAGGCCUCAGUGGUUCCCAGUAGGAGCUGCUGCAGAUCUUUAGUUUUAUUUUGUAGCCUUUCAAUGGUUCCUCUUCAAACUGGUGUAGUUUUUACUGGAACCAUGAGCAUGGAACUAUCUAUGUUAUUUUUUUCAGUACCUCUGGUACUUUUAUAAAUAUAUUAUUUUUGCUGAUAAAAAAAAAAAAAGUAUUUAAUGUUAUUAAAGUAAUGGCAAUAAGAAGUUGAACCUUUACCUGACAGAAGGCCAGUUAUCGUGCAUCAAAUAUCAAUACCACAUUCAUAAACCACUCUUAAAGAAGAACAGUCACAAAUAAAAUAUAAAGUUCAAGGCUGAAAAUAUGCUGCUAUUCAACUGGAUAGUUCCAAAAGAAAGAUCACUUUGGAUUAAGCUCGCCACAUAUUAGUAGAAGAACAUUACAAAACAUAAGCAUAUUUGAUAAAUAAGGAAACGCUUUCCAUUUUACUUUGAUUGAAUUGAACCCUUAUAAGGUAAAAUUGUUAUACUUCAGAGUGUAAGAGAAUCACUCAUUACAAGACAUAACAUUUAGAGUUUGGUUCUAAUGAUUGGAUAUUUUUAGCCAGAUCAGACUUGACCUGCAUUAGAGUUCAGUAGUAGUUAGUAGAUUAGGUUGCAGUCCCUACAGGAAAAAUAUAUAUCAGCCCAUAUUAACCAUAAACAGUAAUAAAUUCUUCUUACAAAUUUGAAAAAGAAUACACAUUGAAACCAUAUUUCUCCAAAAUAUAGUGUUGGAAUUUUGUUUGGUAUACUUGAAUGCAUGAAAGUGUUUCAUUUUUAAGUAUAUUGAAUACAAGAACACUGUAUAAAAAAAAAUAAAAAAACACAUGAACACAAUAUAACAAAAUAUAAAACCAACGUGCAUUAAGGAUCUCAUGUUUUUGUAUAAAAGCAUAAGUUUUAUUUUGAUAUACUGUCAAAUGUAAAAAAAAAAAUUGUAAAUUAAUUUAAUAUUGAGUUAAUUAAUAGGCAUGUGCAUUGUUUGUGCAAGAAAAUUAUAUUAUCAAUUAACUAGAAAUAUUUAUCAUAUAACUUUAAUAAUAAUUAUCAUGAAUAUCAAUAAAUUUAUCACACAUAUGACAGUUUGUGAUUAAAUAAUAGUGUAAAAGUUUUUUACACUUUCAAUCAACUAACUAGAAAUGAUGACAUAUAAAAAAUUAUUAAAUUAAUUAUUAUAAAAAUUAACAGACUUAAUAUAUAUGAUAAUUUAUAAUUAAAUAAAAGUGUAAAAAGUUUUUAUAAAAUUUCAGUGCAUAAAUUAUUUACUAUGUAUUAUUUAUUCUAAAAAAUUAUUUUAGAUACGAUUUUUAAAUAAUUAUUAUAAAAAUCAAUACUCUUAUCAUAAUUGAUAAUUUAUGAUCAGAUUUUUAUCAUAGUUAGUGAAUUUGAAUUAAACUCUAAAAGCAAAUACAAUUCAAACCUUGAGGGGAAUUAAACUCAAAGAGAAAACUACAAAUCAAGUUGAUGGAAAUAAAAAUAAAAACUAAGUGCAAAAAAAGAGCCAGCAAAGCAACCAAUUGAACUCCAACAAUGCAUGUAUUAGCAACAGCAUUCAGAAUGACAACAAACCAAGUCACAGGAAAGAAAUUAAUAAAUCAUCACACAUUCAAAAUAAAAUAAAGGCUAAAAUACACUAUUGGUCCCCUAUAAUGCUCAAUCCGCAAUUUUGAUCCCCCUAUUUCCAAAUCAAGACAUUCAGUCCCCCAAUUUUUCAAAAUCAGCGAUUUUGGUUCUUCUGUUAGUUGACCGUUAAUUGAUUAUCCAUGGUCAAACAUUGAGUGAAAAAUAAAAGUAUCUAGGAGACCAAAAUUGCAGAUUGAGCAUUAUAGGGGAACCAAAAAUGUAUUUUACCCUAAAAUAAAUUCAUGAAAAUAAGGACAUCCAUGUAAAACAAGCAAUAUUAAUGAAACAUACAGCAGGAAGAAGGUUGGAAACUGCAGUGCCUGAUGAUGUAAUGGCUACUGCUGGAAUGUGAGAUCCUCUUCCAUAUCCAACAGCAUGAUAUGCAAGUGAACGCUCAUCGAAGCAUGAAAUACAUGUGAUUAAUUUGUGACUUGCAACAGCAACAGCAACAGGGGAAGGUCUAGAUCCAGGAGCAAUACACAAAUACUAAACAAAAGAAUAAAUCAGAAUCAUGCAUUAAUAUUGGUGCAUAUGUAAUAUUUAUCAGAUCAUCUCACCAUCAAACCAAGUCUUGUGCAUUCUUCAACAAUAAGCGAUGCCCAAACAGUGUUAAUAUUGGCACUUUCUUUCAGGGAGUUUGAUAAUUCAUUGGCAUGAUCCAACUGAUAAUACAAGAGACAAACAUAACAAGGACAAACUUCAGACAAAUACAACAGAUAAACAUAACAACUAGAAAUAACCUGGCAAAUGAAUAAUUUUCUUCUUUUUUCUAUGGUACAUGAAUUAAAUUUCCCAAAAUCUAAGGUGGCAACCAUCAAAGCUAGAUAUCUAGGUGAAAUAGAGCUUAUUUUUAGAUCUAGACCAUUUGGUUAUUUAAAUUUUAAAAAUCUUGUUCAUCUUAUAAUUGAUUUUGAGAUAGAAUUUGUUCUUAAAAAGCUCAACUCUAAGUUGGCUUUCUUCUAGUCUAAAAUUUUCCAAACUUCCAUUCCCUUUUAUUCUUCCUCUCUCACAGAGUCAUUGCAGAAUAAGAUAAAGGCGUAAAGACCUAUACAUCCAAGAGUCAAUCAUCCUGCAAAAAAAAAAAUUAUAAAUUGAAUUUGAAUUAGUUUUUUUGUUAGAGCUGUAAUAAAAAGAGUAUAAACAAUUCAUAAACUUUACCUAAUGUAACAUGAAUAGAGUUCAAAUGUGCUGUCUUCGUUCUUUUAAUAAAAUGUUGAAUUUCAGUACAAGGUAAGUGGGCAGUGUACUGUCUGUGAUUCAAGACCAAAGGGAUCUUGUGUGAAGUGUUAUAAAACUCAGACUGGACCAGCCAGGCCAACCGGUUAAACCGGAACCCGGGCAUAGCACCGGCUCGGGUCACAUAUCAAAUCGGAUAUGCAUCUAACCCGGUGCCAUGUAAUCAACCCAACACUGAACCAGUAAGAACUGGGAAACUCGGUCUAGUCGGAUACACUCAAUUUCCUAGUUGUACUCUCUCACUUUGCAAAUUAUAAAACAUAUUUAUUUGAAAAAUUAAUGAGUAUUUUGGACUGGUAAUUGCACUAUAAUGCUAUUCCCAGACUUUGUUUAAAGAACGAACACAGUUGCAAUUGCAUGACAUCUAUUGUCAUAUUAAUGAAAAGCUCCUUACCACAUAAUAAAAUAAACACGGAAACAUUUUUUUUAUUUUCUAAAUAACUAUUUAUUAGCAGCUUGAUCCUUCACCCAAUCCUUUAUGACAUGCAUAUUUAAUGAAAUUUUUAUCAGAAUAAAAUAAGGGAAUGGGAGAAUGUCAAUGUUAUAAGGGUGCAAAGCUCCAAAUAUUAAAAUUUAAAAAUAUAACCUAAAGGUGAAAAUAUUUGUUAUAAAUGACUCAGGUUGAUAAGGAGUACUCAGACAGAUAACUGAAUCAUUUUAAUAAUUUACCUGCUUUAAACGACAGCAAUGGACAUACCUAAACUCUCUGAAAUUCUUCUUCAGAUAUUCCUGCAACUUAGGGACAUCCUGUCUCCAAAAAAUAUCCCAGAGAGCACCAUCUGAAGCAUCCCCCCCAAACAACAAAUCACCUUGAUUUAUUUUUACUUUGUCAACCUCUAUGAGCUCUGAUCCAUAUGAAAUACCAUCCUCAUUAGCAAUGGCAACCUCAUUACUACCAGACGGUUGAUGAAACUGAUCAACUUCUUUCCCAUCACAUAAUCCACCUUCUUGUUCCAUGACUUCAACACUAGUUUGCCUGUCCAAAGCAUUUAUUGUAGAAGAUGAAUUAUAUUAAGCAUGUCAACAUUAGUUUCUCCAUCCUGAUCAUCACCAAGUAGCUCCCUUUUCUCUUGCUCGAGAUGCUUUUGCUUCAACUUCUCAAUGACAGUAAGUUGAUCAGAAUCCAGUUUCACUUCAGCAAUAUGAGUCAACACAUUUACCUAAAACAGCAAAAUUAUUAAAAAAAAAAAUGCUUCAAUUCCUUCAUUGAUAAGCAUGCACUCAGGGCCACAUACAGCAAAAUAUACAAAACACUAACCAAUGUUUGAUCAGGAAAAUCUAUGCAACUGACAUAAGUAUAUAUACGCAAAUUAAAGCCUUCUCUAAGCCAAAGGCAUCAUUCAUUUCAAGUCCUUAACCAUACUAAUGUGAUGAUUCUACUAUCAAAACAAGAGUAGUUUUUCUAAUUAUCAAUCAAUCAUUAUAACAACCAGGGAAAUAACUCGUCAAAUAUAGAAUCAAAUGAGAGUUUAUGAAUUGAAGACAAUGCAAAGAACUUAAAAACUGACAUGGAAUUGAAGCCACAAACUACUCAUAAGAAACAGAACAGAGAAAUGCAAUGGCUUAUCAAAGACAACACUUUAUACAUCCUACAAACUAUACACCAUCCAAUAUGAAAUCUAUUUAAAAAGUUCAAAUAAUUUAGAAGAAAUCCUUGAAAAUAACAGCCCAGGAAAGAAAUAAGCAAAUAGAGCAUACUGCAUCAGACAUAUCACAAUGGAGCUUAGUCACUGAAUCACCACGUCCAAGCUCCUGAGGAAAUCCAUAAGCAAUAUAUGUUUUUGGCCCCAGGUCUGGCUUUAGAGAACCAUUAGGCAACUUCACAGCAAGGUUAAGAGAACCUUUGUGAGGAUCAGUAUAUUCCUUGAAGGGUAAGGAAGAUAUGAACUCAGCACAAUGACGAGGCAAUUGUUCCUCAAAUAAAUUAGAAGGAGGCCAAUCUUUUAAUUUCAAUAUCUGUGGCCAAGCAAGCCAAUCUCUACGACCAUUUGUAUAGCCAGUAAAAAGUUGGUGGAUAUUAAUUUCCCCCUGCAUUUAACCAAUACCUCAAAAGAGAAAUGCAGAAAUCAGCAGCAACUGAAUAAACAAGUCCAGUAAAGAAUUACUAAAUCAGUAAAAUAAAGCAGAUAUGAUUUACUCUAGUCUGAUUACUAAACAGAAAAACAGAAUGAGUACAAAUCGAAAAUAACAUUUUCAACAAACUAAAAAAAAUAAAAAGCACAUUUUACCCAACAUCAGCUAGAUGCUGCAAGUCUAAGAACUAGACAAACAUACCAAAGGAUGCAAGGGCAACAAGAAAGGUCUGGGCAGGCAAAGCAAAAACAGCAAAAUGGGGCAGGGACAAGAAACAGCCAAACAUUGAGAUAAAAUUUUCUAAGAUGAUAAGAUAAGGAGCAAAACCUAGGACUAAGAAGAUGAAUAUGAUGAUGAUGGUAGCAGGAUAAAUUGAUCACACUAGCCAUAUUUCUUGAGAAUGAUGGAGAGACAGCAUAAAGCAUGAAACAAGGGCUUAAAAUUUGAGACUGAUAUAAAAACUACACUCAGAAAAAUGAUUUCUAAUUAUCACCCUAAUGUGCGUUUUGUUUACCAACAUUCCACCUUAGGCCGGUAUCUCUUUAUGACCCAGAUAGCAGAACAUCUACAAACUGUUUCUUAAAGUGGAACCAUCCACCAAAAAAUUGUAAUUUUUCAGUACUUCACAAAAUAUUUCAAGGACAUUCUGUUCUGAUGACUCUAUGGAAUUCAAUAACUGACAAUAUUAAAUGCACUGAAAUAACUCUCAAGUCUCAAUCCAGAAAAGGUGGAGUUACUGAAUUCAGGAAACAUGUAGGAAAUUCAACAACAUAAAAAUUGCUAAUAUUAAAUAAUUCUCCAAAUGCCAUAACUGCAGUGGUUCCAGUUAAAAUAAGUACCAACAUCAAACAAUUAAACAUAAUCUUCAUGAGAAUGAAGGUGAAGAAUGAAAUUUGUGUAAAAAGCUCUCCAUGGUCAAUAAAGUUAAAGAUUGGGAAAUUAAGCAAACCUCAGUCCAAUCUAAGCAAUCAAUUGUUUUCUCCGCCAAAUGUUGGCCAUGCUUGGUAUUAGUUACAUGACGUAAUGCACGCCACAUGACAAGCGGUUCCCAGCUUAAACCAGAUGUACAUUCAAGCACAUUGCUGACAAUGACAGGCUCCCCCUUUUCCCAAUGCCACUGAAAAUGCCUUAAAUCCUUGUACUGAGGAUCUACAGCUUUAGAACAGAAUAAAUAGUUGUCAGUCAAAUCUUCCCAAGAAGCAGCCUUCCUCAUAUUACUAUAGCUAACAUCUGUGUUUCUAUCAAGCUUCAAACAUGAACAGAAGUUGUCUGCAGUCUUAACUACAUUUUGAAGCUUGUAUGCUUGCACUAGUUCUUUUGCUUUACACACUAACUCAGACAAAAUGUUGACCCAAUAUGCUUCUCAGUUCAAGAAAACCAUGGUUACAUUCAUCAUUGACUUUUGGACAAGGAAUUCAGGGAAGUAACAACUAGUUGCAAGUAAAACUUACAUAUUCUUAGGAAAGAAAUGAGCUUGUACCCUUGGAAUAGAUCUAUCUUCUACCAAAUUGAGAUUUUUGAGAGCAGCUCUAGUGCAUUUGGAUUUACAUGUGUCAAUCGUAGACCAGACAUGACACAUAACCCACACCGUAGGAAAUAACAUCAAGCAUAAAUACAGGAGGGAGUUGAUGUUUUUAUUUUUUCAGAACCCAAGAAGAUAAGGAUCCUCUAGAUUAUAGAAAACAAAGAGAAAGGCCCAACCAAACCAUAAUGAAAGAUUCCCUUUUUUCAUUCACAAAGGUGUAAAAACUGAUACAAAAAAGAAUUGACCAUUUAACUUUAAAUAUUCCAAAUUACAUGAAAAAUGAUAGAAGCA